rnacentral:rRNA from 1 species
UAGGGAAUCUUCCGCAAUGGACGAAAGUCUGACGGAGCAACGCCGCGUGAGUGAAGAAGGAUUUCGGUUCGUAAAACUCUGUUGUUAGGGAAGAAAAAAUGUAUAGUAACUAUAUACAAAAGAGACGGUACCUAACCAGAAAGCCACGGCUAACUACGUGCCAGCAGCCGCGGUAAUACGUAGGUGGCAAGCGUUGCCCGGAAUUAUUGGGCGUAAAGCGCGCGCAGGUGGUUUAGAAAGUCUGAUGUGAAAGCCCACGGCUCAACCGUGGAGGGUCAUUGGAAACUAAUAAACUUGAGUGCAGGAGAGAAAAGUGGAAUUCCUAGUGUAGCGGUGAAAUGCGUAGAGAUUAGGAGGAACACCGGUGGCGAAAGCGGCUUUUUGGCCUGCAACUGACACUGAGGCGCGAAAGCGUGGGGAGCAAACAGG